rnacentral:rRNA from 1 species
UUGGAAGUAAAAAGUCGUAACAAGGUCUCCGUUGGUGAACCAGCGGAGGGAUCAUUACCGAGUUUACAACUCCCAAACCCAAUGUGAACGUUACCAAACUGUUGCCUCGGCGGGAUCUCUGCCCCGGGUGCGUCGCAGCCCCGGACCAAGGCGCCCGCCGGAGGACCAACCAAAACUCUUAUUGUAUACCCCCUCGCGGGUUUUUUUAUAAUCUGAGCCUUCUCGGCGCCUCUCGUAGGCGUUUCGAAAAUGAAUCAAAACUUUCAACAACGGAUCUCUUGGUUCUGGCAUCGAUGAAGAACGCAGCGAAAUGCGAUAAGUAAUGUGAAUUGCAGAAUUCAGUGAAUCAUCGAAUCUUUGAACGCACAUUGCGCCCGCCAGUAUUCUGGCGGGCAUGCCUGUCCGAGCGUCAUUUCAACCCUCGAACCCCUCCGGGGGGUCGGCGUUGGGGAUCGGCCCUCCCUUAGCGGGUGGCCGUCUCCGAAAUACAGUGGCGGUCUCGCCGCAGCCUCUCCUGCGCAGUAGUUUGCACACUCGCAUCGGGAGCGCGGCGCGUCCACAGCCGUUAAACACCCAACUUCUGAAAUGUUGACCUCGGAUCAGGUAGGAAUACCCGCUGAACUUAAGCAUAUCAAUAAGCGGAGGAA